rnacentral:sRNA from 12 species
GUCCUAUAUAGAUGUAUCAACGCAAGACAGUUGGGCAUUUCCCUUUAGGAUGUUGUUUAUUAGAAACUUCAGCAAUAAUCUUUAUUGUGUGGCUGCAUAAGUCGAAAUGAGGUGAGUUGAAGUGGAAUGGGUUAUCUGUAAGACCUUGAGUUGAAAAACUCUAAAAUUGACCUAGAGAUACAAUUUUGUAUUUUCUAGUUACAGUUGU